GAUGAACGCUAGCUACAGGCUUAACACAUGCAAGUCGCAGGGUAACAUGAGGAAAGCUUGCUUUCCUUGAUGACGACUGGCGCACGGGUGAGUAGCGCGUAUCCAACCUUCCCAUAACUACGGGAUAACCCGUUGAAAGACGGCCUAAUACCGUAUGAUAUCGUUUGCUGACAUCAAAUAACGAUUAAAGGUUUAGCGGUUAUGGAUGGGGAUGCGUCUGAUUAGCUUGUUGGCGGGGUAACGGCCCACCAAGGCAACGAUCAGUAGGGGUUCUGAGAGGAAGGUCCCCCACAUUGGAACUGAGACACGGUCCAAACUCCUACGGGAGGCAGCAGUGAGGAAUAUUGGUCAAUGGGCGAGAGCCUGAACCAGCCAAGUAGCGUGCAGGAAGACGGCCCUAUGGGUUGUAAACUGCUUUUAUGUGGGGAUAAAGUGCGUGACGUGUCAUGCAUUGCAGGUACCACAUGAAUAAGGACCGGCUAAUUCCGUGCCAGCCGCCGCGGUAAAAGGG
rnacentral:rRNA from 1 species